UCUGAUGUUUUGAUUUGAAAUAAUCAAUACUAAAACAUUUUACACCAACUCAUUUGAUUUGAAUGUUACUAAUUUUUCAGAAGGCACAGCCUCAACCAUUCUGGAAAUGUGCUUGGUUUAUUUUCAGAUUUGCGAGGUGACCAGUUAUCAGACAUUGGUUUGCUCCUGCUUGUGUACGAGAUUGGCCGAGACUACAAAAACUGUAGUGUGCCACCUUAAGGUUUUAGUCGUUUGCUUGUAAGGCAAGAUAGUCCCUGGAGAAGAACUAAAGUACGUCAACAGCCUUGUCAGCGGAAAGACACUCCGUUGCAGUUACUGAAGUACAGCGACAUCUUCAGUGGGCUAGAUUUGCGAGGUGACCAGUUUUCAGACAUUGGUUCGCUCCUGCUUGUGUACGAGAUUGGCCGAGACUAAGAAAACUGUAGUGUGCCACCUUA